AGCAGCCGCGGUAAUUCCAGCUCCAAUAGCGUAUAUUAAAGUUGUUGCAGUUAAAAAGCUCGUAGUUGAAUUUCGGGAUUAGUACGCUGGUCGUGCCUUCGGUAUGUACUGGUGUUACUGGUUCCUACCUUCUGACGAACCGUCAUGUCAUUAAUUUGGUGUGGCGGGGAAUCAGGACUGUUACUUUGAAAAAAUUAGAGUGUUUAAAGCAGGCUCGCGCUUGAAUACAUUAGCAUGGAAUAAUGAAAUAGGACGUUCGAUCCUAUUUUGUUGGUUUCUAGGAUUGACGUAAUGAUUAAUAGGGAUAGUUGGGGGCAUUAGUAUUCAAUUGUCAGAGGUGAAAUUCCUGGAUUUAG
rnacentral:rRNA from 1 species